AUUGAACGCUGGCGGCAGGCCUAACACAUGCAAGUCGAACGAGUGGCGGACGGGUGAGUAAUGUCUGGGAAACUGCCUGAUGGAGGGGGAUAACUACUGGAAACGGUAGCUAAUACCGCAUACCAUCGGAUGUGCCCAGAUGGGAUUAGCUAGUAGGUGGGGAAAAGGCUCACCUAGGCGACGAUCCCUAGCUGGUCUGAGGGGAUGACCAGCCAAGCGGGAACUGAGACACGGUCGAGACUCCUACGGGGUGGAGCAGGGGGGAAGAUUGCACAAUGGGCGCAAGCGUGAGGGAGCCAUGCCGGGUGUAUGAAGAAGGCCUUCGGGUUGUAAAGUACUUUCAGCGGAGAGGGGUUACCCGCAGAAGAAGCACCGGCUAACUCCGUGCCAGCAGCCGCGGUAAUA
rnacentral:rRNA from 1 species